ensembl:lncRNA
GUGACGAACCUGCAUUGAGUUUUACUAAUUAGCUCACCUGCCAGGUGGUUUUCUUAAUUAGUUAAUUGGUUGCAUCUGGUGAGUUUCACUUAAAAGGGAACCGGACAGUACAUUUGUUUGUGUACUGUUUUGGUGAAGUCUGUUGUGACUUAUUUAACAUCUCUUCCAGUUCACAGGUUAAAGACUUUUUGAAGUAAAGAGGAGCAUCUCAUCUGAACCUGAUGUCUAUCAUGGAUAUUUAACUGUAGUUCUGUGAGUAUCCCAACUUAACCAUGAAGCAUAUCUGCAAACUGUAAGUCAUUAAUUUCUCAUUAAUCUUGGGAACACUGAUGUAUUUUGGCUUCCUGGUGAGUUAACCUGUUACCUGAAGGUUGAUCUGAGUAUGUUUCAUUGGUUCAUGGGUUACUUAGGUGUUUGGUUUAUGUUGGUAUUAAUGAUUUGUUAAAAUGGUUACAGGCUCCAAGUUAUUGUUGUAAACUGGAGCAUUGGGUUGGGUUCUGAUAUCUUCAGUCUUCUUUCAUUCUACACUCCUGAGCUCUGCAUCUUCAUCACAUGAGUGUUGCUUUACUGAUGAGGGUGUGGUCUGAGUGAGCAGAGGUGCAUACUGGGAUACAGAGCUGUCUCGAGUCUACAGGUCUGUAGACACGAUCCCUCAGGGGAAACCGAGUGUUUGAGAAACUGUCGUGACGUCAGUUACAUGGACUGCAAUGUUCUUAAAGAUGGAGACAGGGAUUCAGAAGGAGAAACACCAGGGGUAGAUGAGGGGGGCUCCUCCUCUCAACGACUAAAAAUGUAACUUCAGUCUGACACAGAGAACCAUGGAACACAUUCAACAGUCCCCUCCAGGCAUCGUGACUCCUCAGGAACAGUUUCAUUUCCAAGAAGGUCUUAUUUGGGGCCAUCCCCAUAUGGAUCCUGCUCCUCAAGAGCCACCACCCUCCACUGGGUGGUCUUCUGAACAGAUGACCUCCUUCCUGUCCUCAGGCUGACUAAAGCUGCACCGUUUACAUCUGUGAAGGCCCCUCAUUCAGGAAACCACUGGCCUACAAAGACAUGACUUCAGAGAUGUUGAUUCAACCUGGGACACAUUUUGGAGACGCCAAGCAUAAUCCAUCACCAAUGUGGGACGCCACUGAAUAAUGUUGUGCAUAAUUUACGUCUCUGGAGACAUUGGUUGUUCUGUUAUGGGUGCCCUGGCAGGAGAGCUGGGGGGGGGGGUGAUGGGUGAUGGAAUGUUAUUUGCUAUGAGGUUUUUACCCUGCAUGAUUGUUUGGCCUUUUAUGGUUCAGUGGUGUGUGUGUUUUGGGUUUGACAUGAGAUGGAAGAUUUUUGAGCAUCGCUAGGGUUCUGUGUGUCUCCCACUCACACCUGGCAUGGGGUUCUACGUGCCUGUCCUGGGUUCUAUGUGUGUGUCCGGCUUGCUUUGACAGUGAUAAUUUUCAUACGGGGGUCUGUGGGAUUGGCUUGGGAUAUUGGAAUGGUCAACUAAAUCAUACCUGAUGGAAGGCCACACAUUUACUUAAGGGCCUCCAGUAGACAUGAAGAGCCCUGAGCAAUGCUCCGGAGCGUGAUCCAACACACUGGGCAGGAAGGAGAGUAUCCAACUCAAGUGUAAAAGGAUGCAAGCGGCGUGUUCAGAUCAGUGACAAACUAGGACUACACCAAUCAGGAUCAAUGGAGGAUGGACACCAAAAGGAAUUUCACAAGGAGAGUCUGACGUUGGAAAGGGACCUAAAUGGAUAUUCAAGAUGACCUUCCGACCUGUAAUGAGAAGGCUCUUCCUACCUGGCUGGAUUGAUGGAGAGCCCUGUGGAUCUUGUCUUGCUCUCAGUUGCACGUCUUCCUAGGCUGAACUGCAUUUGUUUCGGACAGGACUAGCUGAACGAUUGGUUCCCUUAAAUCAGAACCAAUCCGGGAACUCCAGCUAGUGCGCUCUUCGAGCUGAAGUUGUGCUCUUCAGCUGAGGAGGUAAGGAACCUUCACUGGGGCUUCAAGGCGUAAAGAGGAGAAUGUUUCAAAGUGUUCCAUGGUACUCUGAUGAAGACCGUUGUUGUGUUCCACUGGCUGCGAGGAAGAACCCACACAUCUUCCUCUUGGCCUUUCUCCUCUGAGAAUCCUGGCGCCAUCUUGAAGGAUAUUCCAGCUCAUGUAAUUGAUGUCACGACAGAUUCUCAAACACUUGGUUUCUCCUGAGGGGCGUGUCUAUGGAACUGAAGACUUCAGACAGCACUGUAUCCCAGCAUGCAUCUCUGCUCACUCAGACCACACCCCCAUGAGUAGGAUGCAACACUCUAGUGAUGGAGAUGUAGAGUUUUAUAAGUAAACGAGGGAGCAGACUAAGGUGAUUAGAACACAAUGGAAUGUCAAGUCUGUAAAUCUUUAAACCAUGAAGAUGGUUGGAUAGUUCAGGAAUUGGGCUUCUUUUUAUUAUGGGCAGUCCUUUCACUCAGAUGCCCACUUCUCACUGGAGCUGUACAUGUGUUGGCUGGCUGGCAUGAUUUGCUGUUGGUGAUGAGGCGGUCAGGGUAACGUUGCAGGGCUAUGGUCGGCUCUCUGUGAGGUCAACGUUUAGAUUUGCUCUGUAUGGUUUGUACCCUGAAUAAUUUAGAUAAUUGUAAAAUGUAGACACAGUUUUGUAUUGAAUGAUUCCAGGAUUUUAGUUUUAAAGUUGUUGUGGGACGUACAUGGUAGUUUGGUUCUUCGUAUGGUUUUGAGUGAUAUAACUUGUACACACUGGGUGCAUAAUAAUGUAAAGGUACACUGAAUAGUAUUAAUGACCAACAGCAACAAACAGAUCUCCUCAAGGUAAGUCUGUUGGCUGUGUUUUAAUGAAGACCAUCGCUGGACUUCAGGAUCUUCCUCCGUUCAGCUCAAGGUGAGGCGCUGGUUCUGUUUUUUCUUUGGUUGGUUCCGGCCGGAAUGUUCGGAUUCCAGUCAGACGGUUUGUGCUUCCUGCCGUGCAAGGUUCUGAGUGCGGUCACUUGAUUUAGUCCCAAUGGUUAGCAUAGAACGUUGUAGUCUUGACAACCAUAAGAAACCACCUGGCAGUUAGUUGGACGGGAGUCCCCUGAGGGAAUCUGACGGAACUUUCUGGAUUGUAUUUGCGUAACCUCGAGCCGUUGCCAACGGAAACUAUUUUUCAGUCGGUUUCCAUUGGGAAUUGUUGCCCCUAUCUUAAACAACUAAAGUUUGAUAUUAAAUACAUACUGACACGUACGUCGUACAAAAUGUUGAUAAUAUCCGAUGGUUGCGCCAAACUCUUAACCACGAUGACGUUGCGGGACUCUCACUGCGUACAAAACAGCGUUCUACUUGCGGGCCCAUUUUUGACAUCAGGGAAGGCUUAAAAUCAUUUCAAGAUGGAAGAUAAUUUGACAUUUCUUCAACGGAACCCAGCACCUGAAUAUGGCUGAGUAUAUUUGAUUUAAUAUCGAUACUGCUUAGUGUUCUUUGUUACUUCAGCCUUUGUACGUUCUAAUUACUGCUGUCAUUGAUUGCCACAGAAGUUAAACCCUACCCAAUGGAAUGACGUUAAACAACGACUUUGGUGCAGUGUUAACAACUGGAUAAUAUAAAAGCUAAAAUAAUGGCCGUCAUUCCCAAAUGUUACAGUAGAAGAUACUCUAGAACUGUAGAAGGUUAAAAAGGUAACAUGUAGUUUGUCCCAAGGUGUCUGCCUCCUCACCCAGAGCAAGACCUCCACCUCCUCACCCAGAGCCAGACCUCCACCUCCUGUCAGAAGUCCUCCAGAACAGACCAGGACUCUGUCUGAGGAGAGCUGCUGGAGGAGCUGAGACGCUGGAGGACGACUAGGGAUCGACCAACAAGGAUUCCUCAACGUGUUUCUGGAGCGGAGGCGAGCUGGUAGGGGAGCCGUGAAUCUGGAGGAUGACCAUCACUCUACCAACAAGGAUUGUAAGUUUGUAUUAACCAAACAAACUGGAAAUAAAGGGCUUAAAAAUAAGACAAACUACAUGUUUGUUGCCAGACUUUAGGGCCAGACUCGCGCUGUUUGUUCCAGACCAGGACUCUGGCUGAGGAGAGCUGAUGGAGGAGCCAAGACUCUGGAGGACUCCACCAACCAGGAUCCUUAGACAAAUUACGUUUGUAACCAGACCAGGAAUCUGGAGGACUGAUGGAGAAGCCGUACAUCUGGAAGGCAAAUCCUGAGGACCACCAGGACUCUACCAUCAAGGAUUCCUCAUAAGUUUGCAUUAUCUGGACAUAGUGGACUAGACACAGCUGAGCUGAACCUCACCUGAUCCUGUUUGGUCGGGGGUAGACACACCUGAGCUAAACCCGCCCUGAUCCUGACAUCCUGCUGGUCCCGUCUCCUCAGUUCAUCUGAGCCUCGUCCUCCCAGAAGACCUGCUGAGCUCAGCAGUCUGAGGCUGAUCGAUCAAUGACCUCCAGUGGGAGUGAUCUUCUUGACCCCACAUGUAACCGUGUGCUUCCACACGCCUUUCCCUCACGUCUGUCACUAACCUCUCUACUUCACUACUCUCUCUACUGCUUCCUCUUUUCUUCCUUCUCUGUGGUUCAAACCUUUGCACGGAAGGCACGUCUUCCUGCCCUCAGAGGGUUUAGCGUUAGGGUUGAGAGUCAGGGCUUAGAGUCAGGGGCAGAGCUGGUCAGGGAGGACUGCUUUUAAACAAAAAUCUUCACUUGCUUUCAGAAUGGUGGUGACAUUUUGAAAAGAUUCAUUUGGGAAAAAAAUUUCCUCUGCUUUCCUUUACAAAAUUGUAUUAAACUUCUGUCAAGUGUUUUUGUUUAUAUAUUAAAAUCCCACAUUGACUUCUACAUGUUUGAGGCGGUUCAUUUAAUUGUCCUUUAACUUGGUUAAUGUCAAGCUAAACUCUUGCUAUUCAUUUAAUAUACAUGAUUGUUAUUCAGCAAUGUUCACAUAAUCCAUUUGUAAAAAUCUGAAACCUCCAUAUGGCUACUAAAUUCAAGCCUAUUCAUGUAUUUAACAAUGUACAUACUGCCCCGAAGGCCAUUCUCUGCUACUACAACAC